rnacentral:rRNA from 1 species
UACGGAGGGGGCGAGCGUUGUCCGAAGUUACUGGGCGUAAAGCGCGUGUAGGCGGGUUGCCAAGUCCGCUGUGAAAGUCGGGGGCUCAACCCUCGAAUGCCGGUGGAUACUGUCGGGCUAGAGUACGGAAGAGGCGAGUGGAAUUCCUGGUGUAGCGGUGAAAUGCGCAGAUAUCAGGAGGAACACCAAUGGCGAAGGCAGCUCACUGGGACGGUACUGACGCUGAGACGCGAAAGCGUGGGGAGCAAACAGG